rnacentral:rRNA from 1 species
AUUGAACGCUGGCGGCAUGCUUUACACAUGCAAGUCGAACGGCAGCGCGGGCUUCGGCCUGGCGGCGAGUGGCGAACGGGUGAGUAAUACAUCGGAACGUGCCCAGUAGCGGGGGAUAGCUCGGCGAAAGCCGGAUUAAUACCGCAUACGACCUGAGGGUGAAAGCGGGGGAUCUUCGGACCUCGCGCUAUUGGCGCGGCCGAUGGCAGAUUAGCUAGUUGGUGGGGUAAAGGCCUACCAAGGCGACGAUCUGUAGCUGGUCUGAGAGGACGACCAGCCACACUGGGACUGAGACACGGCCCAGACUCCUACGGGAGGCAGCAGUGGGGAAUUUUGGACAAUGGGCGAAAGCCUGAUCCAGCAAUGCCGCGUGUGUGAUGAAGGCCUUCGGGUUGUAAAGCACUUUUGGCGGGAACGAAAAGGACUGUGCCAAUACCACGGUUCGAUGACGGUACCCGCAGAAUAAGCACCGGCUAACUACGUG